UACGGAAGGCAGCAGUGGGGAAUAUUGCACAAUGGGCGCAAGCCUGAUGCAGCCAUGCCGCGUGUAUGAAAAAGGCCUUCGGGUUGUAAAGUACUUUCAGUCGUGAGGAAGGUGUUAAGGUUAAUAACCUUAGCAAUUGACGUUAGCGACAGAAGAAGCACCGGCUAACUCCGUGCCAGCAGCCGCGGUAAUACGGAGGGUGCGAGCGUUAAUCGGAAUUACUGGGCGUAAAGGGCACGCAGGCGGUUAAUUAAGUUGGAUGUGAAAUCCCCGGGCUUAACCUGGGAAUGGCAUUCAAGACUGGUUAGCUAGAGUCUUGUAGAGGGGGUUAGAAUUCCAUGUGUAGCGGUGAAAUGCGUAGAGAUGUGGAGGAAUACCGGUGGCGAAGGCGGCCCCUGGACAAAGACUGACGCUCAUGUGCGAAAGCGUGGGGAGCAAACAGGGAUUAGAUAC
rnacentral:rRNA from 1 species